GAGGGAUGGAAUUAGUGAGAUGGCACCAGAAAGCUGGAAACUGCAGAUUGCUGAAGCUAUUGAUCUGGAUAUUCUCUCUCAGGUGUUAAAUUCAGAUACACUUGACAUUGAUUAUCUCGGAAAGAUUCUAGAGUUUGCAUUAGGUACUCUGCAAAAGCUGUCCUCUCCAGCACAUGAAGAGGAAAUGAAAGUCACACACCAGAAAUUAUUGAAAGAAUUGGCUGAGACAUGUGAAACUCGAGAUGAGUCAAUGUAUUCCCAUGCCAUUGCAAUGAUCAAGGGUCUGCGGUUUGUAUUAGAGCAGAUUCAGGUGUGUUUCGUGAUAUUUCUCAUGUUCUUGAUCACUUCUAUGUGUGAAAAUAUUCGUUCUGGUUCUCACUGGUGCUUGCUGCUGUUUUAUUUGCUAGCUUUCUUGCCUAUUAUUUACUCUCCCACUCGAUAUAUUUACUGCUCUUUCCUUUUCUAGUGAAGCUCAAUAAGCUUUCGAGAAUUGACGAAAUUUUGGUUUACCCUUUGGUUAGGCUCUUAAGCAAGAGAUAAGUAAAGCACGUAUAAAAUUGAUGGAGCCUUUGUUGAAGGGAC
rnacentral:misc_RNA from 1 species